UUGUCCGGAUUUACUGGGUGUAAAGGGUGCGUAGGCGGCUUUGCAAGUCAGAUGUGAAAUCUAUGGGCUCAACCCAUAAACUGCAUUUGAAACUGUAGAGCUUGAGUGAAGUAGAGGCAGGCGGAAUUCCCCGUGUAGCGGUGAAAUGCGUAGAGAUGGGGAGGAACACCAGUGGCGAAGGCGGCCUGCUGGGCUUUAACUGACGCUGAGGCACGAAAGCGUGGGUAGCAAACAGGAUUAGAUACCCUGGUAGUCCACGCUGUAAACGAUGAUUACUAGGUGUGGGGGGUCUGACCCCUUCCGUGCCGGAGUUAACACAAUAAGUAAUCCACCUGGGGAGUACGGCCGCAAGGUUGAAACUCAAAGGAAUUGACGGGGGCCCGCACAAGCAGUGGAGUAUGUGGUUUAAUUCGAAGCAACGCGAAGAA
rnacentral:rRNA from 1 species